GAAAAAAAUUUUCGCCGCGAGUAGAUGUGUCCGCCAAACGCGUUUGGAAUUCAGCUUGAGCGGCUGAAACACGGCUGCGUCGUGUAAGAAACUGAAAAAGCCGGCAAAACGAUUGUGUGGAAAACUGAAAGCAGGAGCAAGUGUUGUGUGAUCGAAAACGGUAGCCAAAACGAGGCAUUUAAUAAGCAAACAGGCUGACCAAUAACCAUUUACCAUUAACCAUCAAGGAAUCGUGAUAACAAAACGGAGACGAAAAUCAGACACAAACCGGCAGCAAUUUGUUAAUUUUAAACGUCGUGUGUGUUCCUCUCCUGGCAACAACAACAAGCAUUUAAAUUGCAUUUUUAAUAGUUACUUUAGUUAGGAAAAGGAGAACAGAACUGUGAUGCAAGUGACAAAAUCAAAAUUGGAGUAAAUAGGGAUACGGAUAAAGUUGAAAAUAAUAAUAUCGUUUCCCUUUUCUCCCUGCCUUCCAUCGUCAAAUAUUUUGAGCAUCUUCGCGUCGCGUAACAGAACGGUAAAUCUUUCGCUCUGUGUGUUUGUGUGCGUGUUUGAGUGUACGUUUUUCGGUUUUGUUUUCGUCUUCUCCUUACCGUUCUUUUCUCCACCUUCAAUUGCCAUCCCAUCUCCUAAUUUCUUCUACGAAAAAAAAAAAACGAAAAAUAUUGAUGCCAAAAGUAUUGAUGAUCUAAGUCCAAAAUUAAAUUUUACUACUUGACAAAUUUUAUAUGAAUAAGGGAUACAGGAGCACAAAAUUACAUGCUGUUAAUAAUGUUAAAGGAGCCAUGCGGAGCAGCGACGGCGGCGCCAAACAAAAUGUGAGGAUAAACCAGCGUUGUUGGAGCCUUCUGGGAUUAUGCUAAAAAUGCUCAAAGUGCGAUAUAAAUUUUUAUGAGUGUACGCGUUGAAUUUUUACAACUGUCUGGGGCGGGGAAACAAAUUAAAGAAAAUGCUCCAGGGAGGACGAUUUAAAACAAUACAAUAGCUUAAAGUGGCAACGGAAAUUGCAUGCAAGCAGGAGGCGUGGCACGCCUGAACGCCCCCAGCACGUGACGCGCACCAACACAGACACACACACACACAAACACACACAGUUAAACUAAUAGACGCCAUUUUGUAGCGGUAAUUGGCAGGGCACACGUAAGCAGCUCGCUCCGUCUUAUAUAAAAGCACCACCACCCACUACUACUCACCUCAUCAUGGCCGUUAGCAAUAUUGUCUGCGAGUGGCUAAGAGCUUUGGGCCUGGCCCAAUACGCCGAGAGCUUCCUGGACAAUGGCUACGACGACCUGGAGAUCUGCAAACAGGUCGGUGAUCCCGAUCUGGACGCCAUCGGCGUUGAAAAUCCUGCCCAUCGACACAAGCUGCUGAAAAGCAUCCGAUCGCUGAGGGAAAAGGGCGCUGCCUCCGUCUAUUUCAUGCUCAACGAUCCGAACUCGCUUUCCGGCAGCAUGGAGAUCCUCUGCGAAACACCGCCCAGCAACGAACUGGAACUCGUCCUGCGGGAGCAACUGGAAACGGACGGAGUCCGACUCACCGCGCAUCCAUACUCAACACCGGUAAGUUGUUCAAGCCAACAAAAAGUCAAACCUUCUUCAGGCCAUAUCGAAACGUUUUGUCAGACAUUAAAAUCGAAACGUGGGUUAAAUGUAAAACGUAAGUGACUUCAACUUCUACCGAAAAUACAAACCGACAUCCAACUCGUACAAAUGAAAUACGAAAAAAUCGAAUCAAAAAUUGAUAAGACCCGCCCCGCUACGUAGGGAGUUUAAAAACUCAUUUAGUGUCCAAUCAAGCGGCCAUAAAAUAAAGUCAAUAAAUCAAGCAUAAAAGUAACAAAUGCACGGGCAGUUCACAGAUAACACGCACACACAAGCACACGUACUGAGAUGGGGAUUCAGAUACGCACCCAUACGGCUGCACUUGGCUGCAUUUCAAUAAAAAUUCGAUACGUUUUAUAAGGUUGGGGUUCCUGCCGGAGAUGAGGAUUGAGAUGGGGGAGCUACCCUGCCCUCCUCCUCUUUAUCAAGGUGUGAUGAUCACUUGCGUGCCAUCGGCGCCUGACUUGCAUUUCAGAGCAUCGCCACCUCGGCACCUACAACCUUUCCCCCCUCCCCUCUCCAUUCGAUCCCCCACACUUCCCUUUUGAGAAUCAAUAAAAAUAAAUCGAAAUGUCACAGCGCUGCAUGUUUUUUCAAGUGUGAGGUCCCGCAGCUCUCAAUCUUCCUCUACGAAACACAAAAAAGCUGAAGAAAAAAAGCUUUGAAAAACUGUAAAUGACUUUGUGGACAGCAAAAUUCAUUGGAAAUUCAAUCUGCCAACUAACUCUAUAUAUUAAUUUCACGAAAUUGGAAAUUAGUUGGCUUAAAAGCUAUUGAAUUACCGGACGGUGGGCGAGGUGAAAAAUGCAGAGAGAAAAAUGUAUUAUAAUUUGGAAUUUAUACCAGAGUAAGAACACCAAAAAAUAUUUAGAUAAAAUGAACUUUUAGGUGUUUAGCAAAGCUUCCAAUUUUAGCGUCCAAAAUUUAGACUUUCUGAUCUUAAUAUUUGUGCUAUGAUUGUUGAAUCUUAAAAUUUAAAUAAAUUCAAUAUUUCAUUGAUUCAAAAAAAGCAAGCAAUAUUUAAGACCUACAUUUUGAAUAAUAAAUUUGUAUUUUUCACACUUAACCGUAAAUAUGCAAGUUUUUGAUAUUGAUAUGAGGCCAGAUCAAACUGAUUACAUUAAUAGUAAACAACGAAGAUGGAAAAACAUUAAUAUGGUAAUGGGGUUUCUUUUUCGUUAUGUGUGAGUUUCGAUUCAGUAAAAUCAACAAUCGAUUGUUCAGGGCUGCACAUAAAUCCCCGAAAUGAGAAAUGUGUGGCACACAGCAUCCCAGUGCCCCAUCAGCGGGGGUCUCUUUUUCCCCUCACCUCUCUUUCUCUCUUUCUACCUUUACCCAUCCCUCUGGCUCUGUCUCUGUCUCUGUCUGAGGGUCCAGACGGCCCAACGACUAUCCACAAAUUGGUCGUGUUCAGCUUUAAAUCGUUUUACGUAGUUUCCAUCGAGACAAGUUUCGCGGCCCCGUAAAUGUUUGCCAAAUGUGGCGCUGUUUGUAAAUCACGCACGCUGCAAGUUGCACGCAACCGUCGUCGAUCGAUUACCGGUCUCUUUCACUGGCCCCCCCUCUGUCUCUCUCGCUCUCUGUUUCUCUCUCUGUAUCUGUCUCUUUCUCAGUCGAAGAUUUGGUGGGGCCCCCCCACCGCCUUUGGAUCGCCGGAGUAUGUUAAUCUUGGUCAGCCGUGACUUGGCUGGAGUCCGUCCCCCUCCCCUUUCUGCUGCUGCUUAACCCAUUCCUACUACAUCGCUCGCACAUGGGUUAAAAUUUAUGCGCUGUUCAAACGGCGCGUAAUAAAUUUGUUUGCUCUUCAACUGUGUGCGCGCAUGUUCAUUGAAAUUGUGGCAAACUGAGACGGGGGCGGAGGAGGAGAAGCAACGAAACGAAAGCAGGCUCAAUACCCAACACCAAAUCCCAAACCCAGUUCCCAAUUCCAAUCUCAGUUCCAAUACAGCUACACUCAGAAUAAAUAAAAUAGGAUGUAGACAAAUGUCCUGCGAUUGAAAGAUUCAAUGUUAAGAUGUAUAAACAAAGGAAACUGCCAUCUUUAAUACUACAAAGUUGUUUUUUUUUUUUUUUUUUGAAAAAAGAUAUAUUGACUUCUUAAUUUUGUUUGUAAAAAACACACUAUCUAUAUAAUAAACGCAGGGAUAUUAAAACACCUGAAGACAUAGAAACCCUCUCUUUUAUACCCCGUUUUGACUAAAUUUUGAAUCUGUCUUAACAUAAAUAUUGUAAACAAUGUUUCCACUUCACACAAAUUCUUUUUUGCAUUUUUACAAUAACCUAUCAGUUUAUAUUCUUUUUAAAAUGACAUAGAAAACUGAACUUUAUAAGACAAUUACUAUUCGUUUUGGUCUGCUAAUUAAAGCUAGAUUCAAUUUCACAGUGUAAACAUUGUAUUGCCUCCAACGGCCACUUCAUUUUGUAGCUUUUAACAGCAUUUCAGCAUUCUUCUGUAUUUGUUUAUCUAAACGUUUUAUUCAUUUGUGGGCCUGCUUCUGCUGCCUGCGUUCUGUGUUCUGUGUGUUCGGUGUUCUGGAGCUUGAAGCUUGGCGAUUGGGGUGCCUUCUGUCCUGUGGCAUUGCUUUAUCUUUUGGUCAGUCUCUUAGCUUUGCAGUUCGUGCUGCCGUAACGUUCCGUACCGUUCCUGGCGGCCUAAUUGAUGCGCACUUGGCCGGGUUGUGUACUGGUGGUGGGAUUCGCCAGGGGCCCCCUUUACCCCCCUUAACCCCCUUAACCCCCUUAACCCCCCUUCUGCCUACGUUGCUCUGCGCAUGCGCAACAUUCACACUUUGCCGGCUUCACUCGCCGGUUGUCGCUGUUAUUCGCCCGUCGCCAUCUCCGACUUGAUUGCACAUUUUAUUUGCGCAUUUAUUUGCAUUUUUACUCACACCAAGUCAGAGUCGUCCAGAGUUGAGUUCCGUUCCGAACCGUUCCGAUCUGUUUGGUUCCCCUUGUUUGUUUUCUUUUGCCAAUGCCAAUGCCAAUGCCAAUGCCAUCGCCAAUGCAAUUCAAUUGUCUUUCGAGGAGUGAGCGCUUUUCGUCUUAGCCUUCUUCAUUUGUUUGUUUGUUUUCCGUUUCGGCUGCUUUCUGAUGCUUUCUGCUGCUGGGGGGGUUUUCUCAUGUUCGCCGCCGCCGCCAACCGAUGCCGCCUCCUUUAAUAGUUCAUUUAGUUUGCAUUUUUAUGAAGUCUUUGUGUGGGUUGUGUAAUAAAUUUAACUCAAGUUUAUUUAUGUGCCAUCGCCGAGACAUUUAUCACUCAAUUUGAAGGCGUAAUUGGGCGCAAAACGACAGGAGGCUGCCACAGGAGUCGCCGACGAAGUCUUUGUGGUAGUCUUCCUCUCGUCUCAACUCCGUAACUCUCGACUCAACUUAAAUCAACUCCGAGUUUGCGUCUGACGACUGACAGCCGAUAUGGCAUCUGUGUUGCAUAUUUUGCAUAUCGUUAUGUAGUUUCCCUCUUCUCGGAGUCGACGAGCCGAUGCAGUUGCUCCUCUUGAUUGGCAAAGCCGUCUCUGGAGUUGGAGUUGGCCAAAAUUGGAUGAUCCCCGGCUAAGGGGACAUGAUCUUAACGGUUUUGCGAUUCGUCGUGUCGUGUGGAGACAAUUCCAUUUAAUUUGCAUAUGCGAAGUUUUAUUUCUGAAGCUGUCAAAGUGGAGUAGCUUUUGACACCCGAUGGAGAUUGAAAUAUUCACAAAACAAUUUUCAUUGGCAUCGGCUUUUAACUCUUAAAUAAUGCAUUAAUGCAUUAUCAAUGAAAUUUUAUUUUAUUAAGGGAUAGAUUUAUAUAGUAUUUUGGCAAAUUCCUUACCAUUUAAUCAAUAUAAAAACACAAAUAUAUUUAAACAUUUAUAAAUGCAAAAUAAAAUCAUAUUAAGACUGCAGUAAAAAGCACAAAAUAAACAUUGAGUAAUCGGGCCCCUUAAAUAUGCAAAUGAAUAUCCAUACAUUCCUUUGCUGGACAUUUUAUGGCACAUCCCACUUAGCAGCAUUUUUGCAUACAGAUGUCAAGUUGAAUGGAUCGAAAAAUGUGCAAAUUAAUUUACUGCUUCAUCAAGCAUCAAUUUUGGCCAUUUCCCUCGAAUUAUUUCCUGUGCCACCAAAAGCCAACCGGCAAACGGCGAAUUUCCAAUCCGAAUUUUAUAGUUUGAAUAGAACAAUGCCGCAUUCACACUCACACUCACACUUACAGUGACACUCACACUCACCCAACAAGGUAGACAUUCGAAAUCUGCUUAACAUGUGCGAUACACGGAUGGAGAGAUACUCGAACACGUGUAUUUUGGCACCUGUUUUUAGACAGCGCAGUCCAAUAAUGGCCAGCAGCGCUGAAAAUGUCGUUUAGCAACCAGAAACCAUUUUAAACAAUAAAUAAGCAAUUUAUGCCACAAUGCCAGCGGGGAAUGGGAUGGGAUUUUCGGUGGGCAGUCAGUCUGAGUGGGUGGCAUGCAAAAAUGCUACAAAAGAAUGCUACGAGCAUUCAACACAUUUUGUAAUUUCAUUUCGCUCUGGUCCUGAUGGAUAGUUGAAGGAUAGCUGCGAAAAAAAAGGACACGGAAUGCAGGGAUAAAUGAAUAAAUGUCUGGGCACCAAGAUGUUGAAAACAAUUGUGAAAGUUGAAGUAAUUUAAUUUACUUUAAAACGAAUUUGUCUUUCCAAAAGUGUUCUUAAUAUAAUACUUUAUUAAAACAAUUUAAGUCAAAGUGCAAAAAUUAGCUACCUUAUUAAAGAGUACCCUUUUGUUUAUGUUUACGUCGCCUUCAGCAACAGUGUUUUUGACCGAAAAUAGUUUGCCUUGAAAUUGCAUUGCUGCUUUUUUUCAGUGGCACCCGCGAGAUUCCAAACUCCGACUCCGUUUCGGAUUCACUUUUUGGGCUUCCGUCUGGCAUUUGUUGCUGUCUGAUUGCCCGCAAAAGACUAGUAGCCGUAGUCAGAACAGCCGAGCAUCAUCAGUGGCAUCCACAUCCACAUCCAAACCCACAUCCACAUCCUCACAUUCGCACACACAGCGAACAAAAAAUCGAAUUUCCCGUGCGGACUGAUUCGAUUUGGCGUUGCAAUUUCACGCUGUGUUAUUGCAAAGUGGCUGCAACUGUCGGCGCCAGGCGAUAGCACCACCCAUCCAGCCAACCACUUCUCUGCACCGCCGCCACCACCCAAAAACCCUUGGCCAUUUUAGCCACUCUGGCGAUACCAAAGCCAACGCCAAAGCCACAGAAACAGAAACAGGAGCAGCCCAGGCAGCAGGAACUCGCCCGUUCAGCUAUCAAAAUAGCAAUUUCGAUGGCGUACAACAAUGGCCAAAAACGAGCGAAUUGCAACAAAAAAUACACCGAACCGUAGCCGAAAAAAAUCUCAUUUAGUGACGAAUUAAGCACCAAAACAGACAGGCGAUUCAGUUUGUCAGACAAGCGCUAGACACCGACAUGGAUACUCGUACAAGUGCACUGCAACCAAUUUGGGGCAAUCAUUCAAUAGUCAAAUAGAUGCGGUUGAAAAUCGCACAAAUGUUUUCCCUCAGCCCUCAAAGCCAACGUAAUCAACCGCAAUCAACACCCAAAGAGCCAAAAGCAAUAAUGAAAAAAAAAAAGAAAUGCAUAAUCAACAUUUUUAUCAUUAGCGAUAGAGAAAUAUGCAAAGCAGAGCGACGAACGAGCCAAGUAUUUCAAACUGGAGAAUGAAAAUAAGAAUGCAGCGGAAAAACUAGACGGUGCGGGAGAAAUGGGGAAAUAAAUGAAGCACAUUAUAAAUGCCAGAGUACAUGCUAACUACAACAAUUAUCCUUAAUGUUGCUGGCCAGCAACUGCCAUUAGGGAGAAAUGCGGGAGGGAAAUCGCCUUGUCCAUGGCUGAUCACUUGCUGGAAAGAAAUUCAAAUUAAAAUGCUUCCAAUGGUAUGCAAAAUAGUUUCAAUUUUUCGCCAGAGAGCCCUCCAGGAAUGCUCAUUAUUCAACUGGCGAAGUUUUGAAGCUGGCAGGACACUGCGGACGAAAAAUGGGAAUUAAAAGUCAAGGAAUGCACCGAACAGCUCGAAUCAAUAUCGCGCGAGUCAAAUUGCAGUUAAUUACGGACCAUGUUGUCCGUUUUUUUCCUCGUGCCUAUUGAUUCACGCUAAUAAACCUCAACCUUUUAAACAAAGGACAAACGCCUGUUAACAAGGCGCCACAACACGCGAUCGACACCAUUACCAACACCCCGGAGUUAAGGAUACGGAAUAUGGAAUAGGGGUAGUACCACAAUACUAACAUACUACAUAACAUAUACGACCACCCCCUGUAAUCAAAGCCAGCUGCCAACUGCCGUCUGCAUUCCAUUUACCUUGCUCAGAGCACUUUUCAAUUAUGUUAUUAAAACAAGCAAACGGGCAGUUAAGGACCCUUUUGCAGGACCUGCCCAACAUUGCGUGUCUGCCCGUUCGUUUGUUGUUGUUAGUUUUUAUAUCCACUCUCUCAUAUCGUUAAAUAUAUAAUUCUGGUUUUUUUUUAGAAUUUCCUAACUCAUAAAUGCUGCAGCAAUAGUAAUGGUAGUGUGGCAAACAUGAAAAUUCAAUUAUGAAUGCCCGGCUUAAGGUUGACGCCCCGUGAUUUCCAACCCAAUAGCCCCGCACGCCGCUCAAGUCUGUGGCUCAAGGCAAUUUGCAUGGGUAAAUAUUGUAAAUCUAUGACGGGUUUGCAAUCAUUUGCAAUCGGCGACCGCAGACGGAAUGAGCGGAGCUAUUCGCACAGACAUCGUCUAAUUAUGUCGAGUGGCAAACAAGAUACAGAUACAGAUACACUCGCAUGUGCAGCCUGCAGAUGCAAAUAAAAAUAAAUAUUUACAUUCAAUUUCGACAAACGCGCCAGUUACCGAGCGCCAACUUUGCCAAAGGAAAAUUGUGCGUAAAAAGCAGCGGGAGCAGUCGACGCAUAUUUGUUAACCUCAAGCAACAAACUCAGACUAAAACCCGAACCAGAACCAGAACCUGAACGCAAACCUGAACUAUACUGAAAAAAAAUAUACUUUAGAGUCGUAUUUUCAUGGUUUUUUUCAGUGAUUCUUUAAAAAGCCAAAUAAAAUAUAUUGUUAAUCAAAAGAGAAGAAUAAUUUGAAAGCCUUUGGGAUUACUUUUCGUUAGUUAAAGUUUUUUAAUAUAAGUUGGCCCUAAGAAAAUAAUCUUAGGAAACGUAUUUUCAGAGCAAUUUAAAGUAAUUCUUUGGCAAGCCAAAAAAUAUGUAAUCUAAAUGAAACGGAAAGUGUAACUCUUAAAUCAUUGGUUUUUUUUCAAUGCACAAAGAUUUUUUGAAAUCAGUUCAAAAAUCUUAAAAUAGUUAAAACUAAACAAUAGAAAUAUUUAUAAACCAGUAAAACCAUUUUCCGUGCCACAAUAAUAUUUAGUUUCAGAACUUGUGAUUGUACAAUAUAUAAUAUUUAUUAUGAUUUUAUUAUGAUUGAAUUUAUUUUGUCGGCAUCCUAAUCAUUUUUCUCUGUGCCUAAAGAGUUCGAUUUCGAUGCCACCCAGACGAAAUCGAUUACCAACUGAUUGACUGAAAUGCUGGGCUUAUGCGCCCAUCGAAACAGUUUGCUGCAGGUUAAGUUUGGCAUAUAGAUAUAUCGCUAUGGCUAUGGAGGACAUAUAUCCAUGGCUAUAGCAACAGCAGCUUCGAGGACUGCCAGUUAAAAUGGUAAUUGACUUUUGCGCGGAACCGCAAUGUGUUUGUAAACUUGUUGCCAUGUUGUUGUCUAUGUACAGCGUACACACAACCCGCUUCGCUCCGCGGCAAUUCCCCGUUGCAAUAUCGCCGCGAUGCACCGAUCCGAGGGGAUGGUAUGGGACUCCCCUUUCCAGCGAACUCGAACUCCAGUCCCCGCCGAUUGCAAUUUCACAAAAUGCUGGCAUACGCCAAGGAGCACAAGGCGAAAGCCCUGCGUUCGCCAUAAUGUCAUAUUAGAGUUUAUCAACUGGCAUGGCUAUGAAAAUUUAGAGCGCUUCUACUGCUGCUCGAAGGACGGCCGACGACCGAGGACCGGCGACCGACGACGAGGACGACAGCCUGCAAUUUUCAAUUUCGCGCACACUUUGCACAGAUAAUAGAAAUUUCUUUCGCUUCUCGAGUUGCUGUGCCACUGGAGUUUCCAUGCUUUUUCCUUUUACGCUGCGUUUAUUGACACAAAUCGCAAACGCAUUUGGCAUAAGUACCGGCCAACAAGCUGCCUGCUUUUCCCCACAUUUCCCCAUUUCCCCCAUCCUGCCAUACCAUUUGUACUUAUUGUUUUUCGCCACCACACCACCCCUUAGAGUAUCUGGGUUAUGAGUGGUUUAAUGGCAGCUCUCGUGCUUUGUUCAGCUUUGUUGGUUUGUUGGUUUGGCGGUUGCUGCUUUCCAGCUGAAUACUUUAGCCGGUUAGUUCUGUCCAAGUUCUGGCUAAAGAGGAACUAUUUCCUAAGCUGCUUAGCCAGAUGUGUAAUGCUCUGCUUAGAUAAUUGCUUAAGGGCAGAAAUAGAUGGAAAAAAUGGUAGUAAGCCAUAAGAAGUUGCUUAACUUAAUAUAUUUGCUAGGAAAAACUGAAAGAGUUGACUCAGUCGAAAGGGAAAAAUGUUGGUUGUAGAAGUACAAAACUUAAUGAGAACGCAGCUUAAAAUUUAUUAGAAACAUUUCAUGACUUCCACAAAAUUAAAUAUGUAUUUUUCAAGAAACUCACUGAACAAAACCCUUAAUUAACCAAAAUUUUUCAAGUACCCGAAAAGUAAUAAAGCACUUUCCUUGAUGGCCCCUCACAAUGCCAAUCAAAUGUUCGGCGAGAACAAGCCAUUUCCUCCUCCGACUUUCGAAGAGGGGGAAAAUAUUCGCAUAAUUAUGACUUUAGCGGUUACAGUCUGGCAAAUUUUCCAUGUGAAUGAAUUUCGCACAAUUACACACGCGUAGGCAGAACCGAAAACAGAAAAAAAAAAAUACAAAAUGCUGGGGAGUGGGCACAUGUCGGCACAUGACGAGGAGGCAGAUCAACUUCAUUCACAAUUAAGCUAAAAAUACAAGCCCCCCAGUUCGCUGAAUAAAAUUUAUUGUCAAGUGCAGAGUCACAACAUUCAAGACGAACAGCAGUCACAGUCACAACCGAAAUAAUUGGACAGCGGGAAGGCUCGGCACAGGCACAGGCACAGGCACAGGCACAAGAAGAAGUAAAUGUCUGGUUCAGGUCUAGGUGUAACAAUGGAGAAACUCUGGGAAAUACGCAAAAUAUAUAGUGUAUGGGGGAUGGAUGGAGGUGGAGUCAUGCUGUCGCUCACAGAAAAAUAAGAAGAAACGCGGAGGGCUGGGCAAAUCAACAACGCAAUCUUAAUGAAGGCAAUAAUUCAAACAAAAUGCAAAAUUCCCUCGGCAAAACUGUGAAGGAAGUCACGGCGAGUCACUCCGCAGCGAAGACAGCGUUGAAAAAUUGCCGCCCAAGAAAGAAUUCCUGGUUGAAAUUAAAUUUUUACAAAAUCAAAUAAAAUCCAGCGUGUGCCAGUCA